ACUAAGCGUACACGGUGGAUGCCCUGGCAGUCAGAGGCGAUGAAGGGCGUGCUAAUCUGCGAUAAGCGCCGGUAAGGUGAUAUGAACCGCAAUAACCGGCGAUACCCGAAUGGGGAAACCCAGUGUGACUCGUCACACUAUCAUGCAGUGAAUACAUAGCUGUAUGAGGCGAACCGGGGGAACUGAAACAUCUAAGUACCCCGAGGAAAAGAAAUCAACC
rnacentral:rRNA from 1 species